rnacentral:rRNA from 1 species
GACGAACGCUGGCGGCGUGCUUAACACAUGCAAGUCGAACGAUGAAGCAGAGAAACGCGCACUUCGGUUCAAAUUUCACUUCGGAUUAGUGGCAGACGGGUGAGUAACGCGUGAGCAACCUACCUCUUACAAAGGGAUAGCCUCGGGAAACCGUGAUUAAUACCAUAUGACACAUUCAUAAGGCAUCUUAAGAAUGUUAAAGCUACGGCGGUAAGAGAUGGGCUCGCGUCCCAUUAGCUAGUUGGUGAGGUAACGGCCCACCAAGGCGACGAUGGGUAACCGGGCUGAGAGGGUGAACGGUCACAGUGGAACUGAGACACGGUCCAAACUCCUACGGGAGGCAGCAGUGGGGAAUAUUGCACAAUGGAGGGAACUCUGAUGCUGCGACGCCGCGUGAGCGAUGAAGGAAUUCGUUUCGUAAAGCUCUGUUCUAUGGGAAGAAAAGGACUGUACCAUAGGAGAAAGCCCCGGCUAAAUACGUG